CAGAAGAGGAAAGCGGAAUUCCACGUGUAGCGGUGAAAUGCGUAGAGAUGUGGAGGAACACCAGUGGCGAAGGCGGCUUUCUGGUCUGUAACUGACGCUGAGGCGCGAAAGCGUGGGGAGCAACCAGGAUUAGAUACCCUGGUAGUCCACGCCGUAAACGAUGAGUGCUAAGUGUUAGAGGGUUUCCGCCCUUUAGUGCUGCAGCUAACGCAUUAAGCACUCCGCCUGGGGAGUACGGCCGCAAGGCUGAAACUCAAAGGAAUUGACGGGGGCCCGCACAAGCGGUGGAGCAUGUGGUUUAAUUCGAAGCAACGCGAAGAACCUUACCAGGUCUUGACAUCCCGCUGACCGGCCUAGAGAUAGGCUUUUCCCUUCGGGGACAGCGGUGACAGGUGGUGCAUGGUUGUCGUCAGCUCGUGUCGUGAGAUGUUGGGUUAAGUCCCGCAACGAGCGCAACCCUUGAUCUUAGUUGCCAGCAUUCAGUUGGGCACUCUAAGGUGACUGCCGGUGAUAAACCGGAGGAAGGUGGGGAUGACGUCAAAUCAUCAUGCCCCUUAUGACCUGGGCUACACACGUGCUACAAUGGACGGUACAGAGGGUCGCAACCCCGCGAGGGUGAGCAAAUCCCAUAAAACCGUUCUCAGUUCGGAUUGUAGGCUGCAACUCGCCUACAUGAAGCCGGAAUCGCUAGUAAUCGUGGAUCAGCAUGCCACGGUGAAUACGUUCCCGGGCCUUGUACACACCGCCCGUCACACCACGAGAGUUUGUAACACCCGAAGUCGGUGGGGUAACCCUUACGGGAGCCAGCCGCCGAAGGUGGGACAGAUGAUUGGGGUGAAGUCGUAACAAGGUAACCA
rnacentral:rRNA from 1 species